rnacentral:sRNA from 1 species
ACCUUGAUAACGCCGAAUUCGAUUAAGAAGCGGAGGACCCGUUCCUUUGGGGUGAAUUGCUAUGCAACGGGCAUGCUCGCAGCCCGAACCCGUCAGCUAACUUCGCAGGCGUAGGGGGCUCAAGGU